rnacentral:rRNA from 1 species
CCCUACGGGGCGCACGCUCUUUAAUCAUCCCGAUAUUCUUGCUCUUGGCUAUCUGGCUAACAUCGUUCGCGAACGUAAAAACGGCAAUCAAGCGUAUUUCAUUUACAACCAACAUAUAAACUACUCCAACAUCUGCACCAAUCUUUGUAAAUUCUGCGCCUUCGGCAAGGAAAAGGGGCAUAAGCUUGCCUAUGAGAUGAGCGUCGAGGAGGUGAAGGCCAAGGUUAGGCAACGACUCGACGAGCCAAUCAGCGAAAUCCACAUGGUUGGCGGUAUUCAUCCUGAUCUGCCUUUUUCUUAUUAUCUCGAUUUGUUGCGUGGCAUCAAAGAGGUUCGGCCUGAGGUCCAUAUUCAAGCGUUCACCUGUGUUGAACUCCAUCACCUAGCGCAAUUGGCGGGAGGGC